UCUUCAACUACAAAUUUUUUCACUAACAACAUAGAAUGUGUUAUUUUAGAAAGAUACAAAAUGAGAAAAGCCCAUAAAAUACAUGGAGUAACAACUUAGAGAGUCCUGUUAACAGCUUGAAGAUUGCCUAAUGAUUUAGGCUACGACUCAAGACACGCAAACAAAAUUCACAAAUGCUCAACUUAGCUGCUUCAAAUCCACACCUCAUUGCCAGUCUUGUUCCUAUGUACAAAGCACAAACCACACCUCUCAACUGAAGGCUUCCCCAAGACUUAAUUGUUGCUUUUAACUACACCAAUAGACCACAACAACAUGGUAUUUUCGGAUAAUUAAUUUUUAAUAAGAAGAGCAAUUAAAUAACAUGGUUAGCUGAUUUCCUUAAUCUAAGCAACAUCAACUUUUUAAGAACAUAAGAGCAAACACAAAGUGCAAACAAAUAUUUCGGUUAAACAUGGACAACCACACAAGUUGAAAAUUAAAGAAUGAACAAGAGUCAGAAUUGGACCUUUAAUUGAGCUUUUCUAAUUGAAAUUAUCCUCUAACCGGUACACCCAAGAGAUGUCGACAGCCAAAAUAGAAUUGCAGCAAUUGAAAUCUGAUCGGAAAACAAGCACAAUAAAAGAAACUUCGGCAGGAACCACAAACGGCAACCUUAACUCCGAAUCGUACUCGAAAACACUCCGUCUCCGCAACACCCACUCUCUGUUUCGAUCUUCUUCUUUUGGGGAUGAGAGUAAAUAAUAAACUGAUUUUUAUUUAAAAUAUUUUUUAGCUUCUCUUUAUGAAACUGGAAUCUAGAGAUCAAAGCAGAGAUAAAAAAUAUUUUUCCGAAAUCGAAUGCUAUACUAGAAUCAGAAGAUAUGCAGAUUCGUCUUAUAACUUGAAACUUUGCAUAGCCGAAAACUUGCACGAUGUAUUUUAUCAAUUAGACUCAGAUUUUCGGGACCCAUUUGUGAAUUUCUACACUUGGAUGAAAUUAGUCUCCUGGAGUGGAAGGAGAAAGAUCGAGAAAUGGGAGGUGGAAUCUUUUAUAAAAAUGUGAAAUCAGUGAUUUGAGAAAACAUCAUUUAAGCUUUUGGGUCUCUGACAUGCUUGAAGAAUGCUCAAGAAAGAUAUGAGCUAAGAUUUUUGUUCUUCUCCAGAGAUACGGCUAUGCUUCUCUUUUUGAGUAUAGGCUAG
rnacentral:lncRNA from 1 species